UAUUGCUGCGGUUAAAAAGCUCGUAGUUGGAUUCGUAUCGGUACCUUGGAACCCUUCGGGUGUUUCUGGGUGUUAUCGAUUUAUCGUAAUGUUCGGUUUUGAGUCCUUAACAGGAUUUUUAACAGUCAUUGCAAGUUUACUUUGAACAAAUCAGAGUGCUUCAAACAGGCGUUUUCGCUUGAAUGAUCGUGCAUGGAAUAAUAGAAAACGAUUUCGGUUCAGUUUUAUUGGUUUUACGGACUGAGAUAAUGGUUAACAGAGACAAACGGGGGCAUUUGUAUGGCCCCGUGAGAGGUGAAAUUCUUGGACCGUGGCCGGACAAAUACAGCGAAAGCAUUUGCCAAGAAUGUCUUCAUUAAUCAAGAACGAAAGUCAGAGGUUCGAAGGCGAUCAGAUACCGCCCUAGUUCUGACCGUAAACGAUGCCAACAGCGAUCCGCUGAUGGAAAUUAUUUUGCCUUGGUGGGGAGCUUCCCGGAAACGAAAGUCUUCCGGUUCCGGGGGAAGUAUGGUUGCAAAGCUGAAACUUAAAGGAAUUGACGGAAGGGCACCACCAGGAGUGGAGCCUGCGGCUUAAUUU
rnacentral:rRNA from 1 species